rnacentral:rRNA from 1 species
UACGUAGGGCGCAAGAGUUAUCCGGAAUUAUUGGGCGUAAAGAGCUCGUAGGCGGUUUGUCGCGUCUGCCGUGAAAGUCCGGGGCUCAACUCCGGAUCUGCGGUGGGUACGGGCAGACUAGAGUGAUGUAGGGGAGACUGGAAUUCCUGGUGUAGCGGUGAAAUGCGCAGAUAUCAGGAGGAACACCGGUGGCGAAGGCGGGUCUCUGGGCCGAUACUGACGCUGAGGAGCGAAAGCGUGGGGAGCGAACGGG